rnacentral:rRNA from 1 species
AUUGAACGCUGGCGGCAUGCUUUACACAUGCAAGUCGAACGGCAGCGCGGGGCAACCUGGCGGCGAGUGGCGAACGGGUGAGUAAUAUAUCGGAACGUACCCAGAAGUGGGGGAUAACGUAGCGUAAGUUACGCUAAUACCGCAUACGAUCUACGGAUGAAAGUAGGGGACCGCAAGGCCUUAUGCUUUUGGAGCGGCCGAUAUCUGAUUAGCUAGUUGGUGAGGUAAAGGCUCACCAAGGCGACGAUCAGUAGCUGGUCUGAGAGGACGACCAGCCACACUGGAACUGAGACACGGUCCAGACUCCUACGGGAGGCAGCAGUGGGGAAUUUUGGACAAUGGGCGCAAGCCUGAUCCAGCAAUGCCGCGUGAGUGAAGAAGGCCUUCGGGUUGUAAAGCUCUUUUGUCAGGGAAGAAACGGUAGAGGCUAAUAUCCUUUGCUAAUGACGGUACCUGAAGAAUAAGCACCGGCUAACUACGUG